rnacentral:lncRNA from 1 species
GGUGGCCAAAGGUGGGGUGGGCCACUCCCAAGAUCUCGAUGUUUUCUGUACCCAGGAAUACCCACCAAGAAGGUACCCACAGGCGCGCAUGUGAUCGCCCCUGAUGGAGCUCUUGGAAGCUUGGCUGCCUGAGGGUCUGCGCAGGGCCUGUUCUGGGAUGAGAAGGGUGAGCCCCAGCCUUCCCCAGGCCCUGUAGCGGUGCCUCAGCUCCAGACCCUCACCCCACCAAACCUCACGUAGCUAAGUUCUUUCCUGUCACGGCAUCUAAUGCUCUGCUUGGUUGGUUUUUGUUUGUUUUGCAUUGCUUGGGCCGGCGGGAUGUGCUCAUGACACCCUCCUGCAGCGCUGCCUAACCUUCACACCCGGAGUCUGCUCUGCCAUCCCCAGCCGCAGGUUACCACCUGGGAUUUCAGCUCUUCUGUGCCACUGUCGCCAUCCUUCUAGGCCCAAGCUGACUCUGUGGGGAGAGAAGUGCACCGCAGAGGUUAAAACACACGGUGGGUUCUGCUCCCUACACCACCUACCCAGGCAGGGGAAGUUGCUGAAGAUGAUUUCCCAUCCGGUUCUGCCUAACUCCAUCCCCUGCACAGGUCACUUGUGUGCUCAGGCCGCAUGUGGCCAGCAGCAGUCAGCAUUCCC